AGUCCAUCAACAUGCAGCAAAAAGUGUUUUUAGAUUUCAACGAGCAAAACAAAAGUAUUCUAAAUCAUUCUUCGUAAAAAAAAAGUGAGCGAGUGGAACCACCUUGCUCGCACCAAAAUUGAGAUUGAGACUGAGAGUGUCAAAACUGCUCUGGUGCACCAUCAAUAAAUCAACGACACUCUCUCUACCGUGGUAUUGAAACCAGCAUUGGUAACCAAACAUAUUUAUACAGAUACAGACUACCAUUCAUCUACAUUUAGGAAGUCUGAAUAAUACUGAAAACUAGGGUGUAGAAUUUCCAACAGGACUCCUUAUUUUAUAUAAGACGAGGAGUGGUUUAUUUUCCCAUGGUUGUUACAUCAUCUUGUCUUUGAAUAUGCUCGAAGUACAGGGACUUUUAUGGAAUUCAUUGACAUGAUAGUCAAGCAAGAUGUCAACAUCUCGUCCAACCCUCUUCCAGCAAAGCCAAAGCUGACCAAGGAUCUUCACCCUUUCAAAACAGGCUGUAUACAGGACGAGUUAUUCCAGUAGGAACAGGGCUAUAUAUAUGCAAGCAAUGCUCAAUUAAGAUGAAUUUUUGUAAAAGUGACAAUAGCCAGGUCAAACUAAAUACAUGUAUAGAAGAAGAUAUUGAUUUAGACUCGCAGCUAACCUUUCUGUCAGUGUCAACAACAACUGAACUUUCACAGCAGUCAACAUCAGAUUGGGAGACUGAUAAUGCUUCUAACAGAAACAAUUUCAACCAACCAAACAAGCAACAGAAACUUUCCAACUUUAAAACAUCAGUUAAAUCUUCCAUCGGAUGAUGUCUCAAAAAAUAACAGUUCAUCAUUUAUGGAGAUUUUAAUGUUAUGGUUUUUCUUUUACAAGAAAGUUAAUGUACACUUGUUUUAUAGUAAAACCUAUAGCCGUUCAAGUAUAAAAAAACACAUUCAACUUUAUUGAAAUUUGAAGAUUCAUAUGACUUAUUUUAAUUCUGUUAUCUCCGAGGAUGUGAUGUAGAGCAUUAUAGGUACAGUAAUCUUAACAGCUAUCCAAUUUCAUUCAAAAUUCUUUAUAAAUUUUGCACUGGUAUAUAUAGACUAAGUAAUUUGUUUUUCGUCUAGUUAUGGGAUUUUUUUUUUAGAAGCACUUAUGAUUUUCAUGUUUGUAUUGACCACAUUGCAGCAACAUAGAUAUAGGUACCUGGCAAAUCUUGCCUUGUUAGCAUACUAGGCUCAAAGGGUCAUAAAAAAAUUUCCAUCACUAAGUGUCUGUUUAAAUCAUCUGUUUACAGUUUUCACUUUUAAACCAUCAUCUUAAUAACUUUAGAAGAAGUGUCAUACAUAUAUAUAUGUAUACAAAAUUUAAAAACUAUCAACAUGACAAGAUCUGAAUACCCAAAAUUUUUCUGAAAAAUUGGACAUAACAUCUAUGAGCUAUUGUCCCUGAAAUGUGUAAAUUUACAAAUUUUCACAGUUUUCUGCUACUAUCCGACAACUAUAUCAAUAUAUUAUAAGAAUAAAUUGCAAAAGUGGUCAGAAGAAACUUUUUUUUUACAGUCUGAACUUAUUCUGAAUUGUUUAACUUCUGAUUCAAAUUGAUUGCGUUUGAAAUAUGUGUUUUUUAUCGUUUUAGGUGCACAAUUUGUCAAUACGAUCUAUUUCAGCUCCUGGGAGCCUCUAGAUUUAUA